GCAGGCCGCAACCCGCCUGCAUGAAGUUGGAAUCGCUAGUAAUCGCGGAUCAGCAUGCCGCGGUGAAUACGUUCCCGGGCCUUGUACACACCGCCCGUCACACCAUGAGAGUCGGGAACACCCGAAGUCCGUAGCCUAACCGCAAGGGGGGCGCGGCCGAAGGUGGGUUCGAUAAUUGGGGUGAAGUCGUAACAAGGUAUC
rnacentral:rRNA from 1 species